rnacentral:rRNA from 1 species
AUUGAACGCUGGCGGCAGGCCUAACACAUGCAAGUCGAACGAGUGGCGGACGGGUGAGUAAUGUCUGGGAAACUGCCUGAUGGAGGGGGAUAACUACUGGAAACGGUAGCUAAUACCGCAUACCAUCGGAUGUGCCCAGAUGGGAUUAGCUAGUAGGUGGGGUAAAGUCUCACCUAGGCGACGAUCCCUAGCUGGGCUGAGAGGAUGACCAUCCACACUGGAACGUAGACACGGUCCAGACUCCUACGGGAGGCAGCAGUGGGGAAGAUGGCACAAUGGGCGCAAGCCUGAUGGAGCCAUGCCGCGUGUAUGAAGAAGGCCUUCGGGUUGUAAAGUACUUUCAGCGGGGAGGCGUUAACCGAAGAAGAAGCACCGGCUAACUCCGUGCCAGCAGCCGCGGUAAUUG